rnacentral:misc_RNA from 1 species
GAUGAAGAACGUAGCGAAAUGCGAUAAGUAAUGUGAAUUGCAGAAUUCAGUGAAUCAUCGAAUCUUUGAACGCACAUUGCGCCCGCCAGUAUUCUGGCGGGCAUGCCUGUUCGAGCGUCAUUUCAACCAUCAAGCCCCCGGCUUGUGUUGGGGACCUGCGGCUGCCGCAGGCCCUGAAAACCAGUGGCGGGCUCGCUAGUCACUCCGAGCGUAGUAAUACAUCUCGCUCAGGGCGUGCUGCGGGUUCCGGCCGUUAAAAAGCCUUAUUUACCCAAGGUUGACCUCGGAUCAGGUAGGAAGACCCGCUGAACUUAAGCAUAUCAGUAAGCGGAGGA